rnacentral:lncRNA from 1 species
GCGGCCGUGAGCGGAAUGGCGAGGAGCGGGGCGGGCGGCGGGGGCUGCGGUGGCCCCGAACCGCGGCGGGGGAGGAGGAGGAGGAGGAGGAGGGAGCCGGGCUCGGUCGCGCGGCCGGGAGGAUGCACAGAUGUUUAAACAGAUUAAUCGAGCUCGGAUUUGCCAAAUCCUCGGUGGAAACGCCGAAGCGCUCCGCCGGUAUCCCACCGCUCGCCUUAAUUAUCCCUGUCAUUUGGCCCGCUCUAACUGAAGCCUCCGCAGAGAGCAGAAAUGACUUCUUUCGAACGAAACGCGAACUGAAUGCAGCCCGCGUUCCGCGGAGCUCCCCGAGCUGCCAUGUUCAACGGAGUUCAACAAUAGAAAACCGCCACAGCCCGAGAAGCCGACCCAGCCCGGCCGAGAGCCGCGUGGGGAUGCCCGGCGCACCGCCGGCCCGUGCUGCCCGUGGCCCAGAGCUUCCAUCGGACAGCCCGCGUGCGGAGCCUCGACAGCGGUUCUUCCCCUUCCCGGCCAGUGGUUUUCCAUUCAAACGAGGAGAAGAGUGUUUCUAUUCAAAAUGCUUUGUAGUUGCUAAUACCUGUACGAAUGAAUGAAUUUAGAAGGAGCUCAGCGCCUUCCCCGCACGUGGAUUCCAAUGGGAUUUAUCAGCUAUCCGUCUCUUUUUGAAGCCUCUUCCCCGCCACUUUCAGGUAGCUGUCCCUUGGAUGAAACUCCAGAUACAGUGGAAAGCGGCACCACCUAACAGCUUGAGCCAAAGCAUCAACAAAGCACACCCGUUUGGAACUACAAGAGAAACUGGAAUAGAUGCGAAGCGCUUACCAAAGACUGGAUGCAGCCAAAGCACUUGUCCUAAAGAAAGGCCAUUGAGGUUUCUAAUAACUACCGGUCAUCCCCACUGCUGCCUUAGAUGCUGUCCAAAAGGGCUGAGGAUCUUUGGUCCUCAUGCCAAAGGCAUGUUCUCUUCGUCUCUCUAAGUCAGUAUUUGGAAAGCCAAAGGAGUAACUUACAGCAGUCAUCUACUCUCUAUCGCGGUUUAGCACUUUACAAAAGUUCACCUUUUCUUUCAUCAAGCUGAAAAGCAUCACAGUAUGUUGUGUUCUUUUUCUGAGCAUUAAAAGAGAAAUACAGGAUACUUUCAAACUCUUUCAACCUUAUCAGUAACAAUUGCUUGAAUCAGGAAACAUUUUUAAUAUUAAAACUUGGCAGCAUCUUAUAAUGUGGAGCCUUAAGACAUCUGGAUUGUAAAGUAAGGCUGAGUGGGACUUUGGGUAACCUUGUCUAGUGGGCGGUUUCCUGGCCCAUGGCAGGAGGUUGGAACUAGAUGGUCUUUAAGGUCUCUUUCAACACAAAUCAUUCUGUGAUUCUACACUAUUAAUGGAUAAUUAUGGGGAAAAAUAAAAAUAAAUAAACAAAACAAAACAAAACUCCUCAGAAUGUAACCUUUGCUCAUUGCAUCUGCUAUGCGUGGAGAAAAUAUCUAGGGUCAGAUCUUUGUUCCUGUUGCCUUCCACUGAAUUCCAGUUCUUAUGAACAGUAACCCAAAUUGGGAUACCCUUUUGAAGCCAGAGUGCUUAUGGUUGCUACUACCUUAAAAUGAAUUGGGCCAUAUUCUGCAGUGUUUUAUAUUCACUCAGGUAAACCACCGAAAACCUUAAACAGUGGCAUCAAAUCAACUAUGGCUGUAGAAUUUCAUGUAUUACUUUCCAUAUUUGAUAACGAGGGAUUCUGACAGUCCUUGCAAGCACCUUGUACAGGCAAUCAAUAACAUUUUUGAUCUGAAAUAAUGCAGGUUUAUAUUUUGAUCUUUUUCCACAACACAUUUUCAUCUCAAUUUAUAGUGCUUCAUUAGUGGUGGUUUGCAAGCUCAUCUUCCCAUUGUAAGGAAAACCAUCUUUUCUAACAUCAUUUGCUGGUAUUUUAAUUGGAAAGAUCUAAU